rnacentral:rRNA from 1 species
GACGAACGCUGGCGGCGUGCUUAACACAUGCAAGUCGAACGGAAAGGCCCCUUUGCGGUACUCGAGUGGCGAACGGGUGAGUAACACGUGAGUAACCUGCCCUUGACUUCGGGAUAACUUCAGGAAACUGGGGCUAAUACCGGAUAGGAAUCCUUGCUGCAUGGUGGGGGUUGGAAAGCUUCGGCGGUUUUGGAUGGACUCGCGGCUUAUCAGCUUGUUGGUGGGGUAGUGGCUUACCAAGGCUUUGACGGGUAGCCGGCCUGAGAGGGCGACCGGCCACAUUGGGACUGAGAUACGGCCCAGACUCCUACGGGAGGCAGCAGUGGGGAAUAUUGCACAAUGGGCGGAAGCCUGAUGCAGCAACGCCGCGUGCGGGAUGACGGCCUUCGGGUUGUAAACCGCUUUCAGCAGGGGCGAAGCUUGUGGUGACGGUACCUGCAGAAGAAGCACCGGCUAACUACGUG